CAGCAGCCGCCACGGUAAUACAGAGGGUGCGAGCGUUAAUCGGAUUUACUGGGCGUAAAGCGUGCGUAGGCGGCUAAUUGAGUCGGAUGUGAAAUCCCCGAGCUUAACUUGGGAAUUGCAUUCGAUACUGGUUAGCUAGAGUGUGGGAGAGGAUGGUAGAAUUCCAGGUGUAGCGGUGAAAUGCGUAGAGAUCUGGAGGAAUACCGAUGGCGAAGGCAGCCAUCUGGCCUAACACUGACGCUGAGGUACGAAAGCAUGGGGAGCAAACAGGAUUAGAUACCCGAGUAGUCCCUGUCUCUUAUAC
rnacentral:rRNA from 1 species